rnacentral:rRNA from 1 species
GAUGAACGCUCGCUACAGGCUUAACACAUGCAAGUCGAGGGGCAGCGGUAUCGAAAGCUUGCUUUCGGUAGCCGGCGACCGGCGCACGGGUGAGUAACGCGUAUCGAACCUACCUCAUACUCGGGAAUAGCCUUGCGAAAGUAAGAUUAAUGCCCGGUGUUUUCAGAGUCCCGCAUGAGGCUUUGAACAAAGAUUUAUCGGUAUGAGAUGGCGAUGCGUCCCAUUAGCUUGUUGGCGGGGUAACGGCCCACCAAGGCAUCGAUGGGUAGGGGUUCUGAGAGGAAGGUCCCCCACAUUGGAACUGAGACACGGUCCAAACUCCUACGGGAGGCAGCAGUGAGGAAUAUUGGUCAAUGGGCGGAAGCCUGAACCAGCCAAGUAGCGUGCAGGAAGACGGCCCUCCGGGUUGUAAACUGCUUUUAGUUGGGAAUAAAACGGGGCUCGUGAGCCCCCUUGCAUGUACCAUCAGAAAAAGGACCGGCUAAUUCCGUG